AGGUAAAAGAUAACCACAGUACUUAGUGAAAUUGCCAUAACUGGGAUGAGGCUUAGACUAGCUGUGGUGUACUGCAGAAGCUUGUCAAGGACAGGACUCCAAAGAGGAACUGAAAUGGGAGCGAGCUGGAAGAGUCAGAGAGAUACCUGCAACAUUGCUCCACCAUUUAUGAAUCGUCUCCCAUCUCCCACCCCCUAUGCAGGUGAGGGCCAGGGGUUGAACCAGGGUUUCUUCCAACAACAACAACAAAAA